ensembl:lncRNA
CCCUGUGGGAUGGAUCCCUGUCCCUCAGGAUGGAUCCCUCAGGAUGGAUCCCUUGGGAUGGAUCCCUGUGGGAUGGAUCCCUGUCCCUCAGGAUGGAUCCCUCAGGAUGGAUCCCUGUCCUUGGGGAUGGAUCCCUCAGGAUGGAUCCCUGUCCUUGGGGAUGGAUCCCUCAGGAUGGAUCCCUGUCCUUGGGGAUGGAUCCCUCAGGAUGGAUCCCUGUCCUUGGGGAUGGAUCCCUCAGGAUGGAUCCCUGUCCUUGGGGAUGGAUCCCUCAGGAUGGAUCCCUGUCCUUGGGGAUGGAUCCCUCAGGAUGGAUCCCUGUCCUUGGGGAUGGAUCCCUCAGGAUGGAUCCCUGUCCUUGGGGAUGGAUCCCUCAGGAUGGAUCCCUGUCCUUGGGGAUGGAUCCCUCAGGAUGGAUCCCUGUCCUUGGGGAUGGAUCCCUCAGGAUGGAUCCCUGUCCUUGGGGAUGGAUCCCUGUUCCAGGUGCUUUCAGAAGCUUCACUUGGGUGAUUUCAGAGGAGGAAAGGAGCUAAUGGCUCCAUUAAAAAUGCCCUCAGCCCUGUUUCUUGUCCUGGGUUGAUGUUUUGUCUAGCUCCUCUCCCUGCCCCCGCUAACAAAACACCAACCCAGGACAUUCUCCAGGCUCAGACUUCCCCAGUUCUGUUUUUAUCCCUGGGAGCCUGUGCUGAGGAGCUGCCAGCGUGGGGCACCUGCCCAGCUCAUGGCACAGGCACAGCUGUGGCUCCCAACAAGGACAAUAAUUCCUGUUUUGUGGAAGAAAACAGAAGCUGUGGCGAUCAGAGCCCAAGCAGCCAGGCAGAAACUCCUGGAACUGGAUUUCCUCCUUCUUUUCAACCCUUGAAAUCGAAUGUCUCACUCUCUUUUCCAGGCAGUUUGACUGACAGCGAUGAAAAGCCCCAGCAGUGCUUUGGGCGAGGCUGCUCACAGACACAGGCAUGGCAAGUGCCCUGUUCAGCACUCCACACUGAACCAGGAGUAAGGAAGGCAGCACCAAGGACCCACGUGGGACCCCUGACUCUUGGUGGUUUUUAUUCCUGUCCCCUGUGAGCACGGGGCCAUUUCACCCUCACUCUGUGCCAGUGGAGAUGAGGCUGCAAAGGUGGCAAGUGGUGGACAGCAAGGCCUCUGGUCUAGAAGGGCAGGGGUGCUCAGAUGAUGACAGUUAACGAAAAUAAAGCAAUAAUUAAAUUAAAACAUCAAGAAAAAAAAGCUCAGUAAUGGUAAGAUUAACUGCAGUAUAACCUCCUACAGGAAGCAGCACAAGGCAGAGCAUUUUCAUCUUUUAAAACAGGACUAAACAUAGUUUUGGGUAACAUAUUACAGCACUGGAAUAAAUGACUGGAAGCUGGUGCAGCUACUGGAGGCUCAGCCACAGCCCUACAGCUGAAGGGUGUUGUAGGAUUUAGGGAGGGUGUUGGGUCAAUGCAUCAGCCAUCACUCACUCCCACAGGAGUGCUGCCAAAGCAGGGUGCAGCUCCUAUGUGCAAUCAGCAUUAAUUAUCUGUACAUGGAUGUGUCUGUAAUUAGGUACAUGUGUGUGUGUAUAUGUGCAAAUACAAAUAUCACAUGGGGAGGGGUUAUGGCAGAUGUUAGAAAAGAACAUCAUCCCACUGCUGAAGCAGCCUCAGGCUCUCUGAGCCGCUCCUGAGCUCUGCUGCUGGGAAACCUCUGCUCAGGACGAAGGGGGUGCCUUCCCCUGCUCCCCCCGGCCUCUGGGGGUCUGCAUCACCUCGGGGAUCAGCCACACAGGGACAGGGGAAGGGGGAUGCUCCUGCUCUGCCCUUGGUGGCUCCCCUGGCAAAGGGGGCUCCAGGAGGGCACAAAGGCAGGGAGGAGGCUCCUCCUGCCAGGGGAAUCAGCUUCAGGUCCUUGAAUUUCCCUCUGAAUCCUUCCUAGAGAGGCCCCAGGAGGAGGUGCCAGCCCCGAGCCUGGCUCAGCCCUGGGAUGAGGUACCUGGCAGUACCACACAGUGUUCUGCAGUUUUUGGUUAGCUGUUAGUUCAGGGUUAGACUUUUCCCAAAGUAAGUGCAGAACUGGGAAUAGAAAAUGCUGUCUGUACCACACAAAUGUUAGCAAAUGUUCUCCCGACUCCAGUCCUGCUCCCCCUGCUCGGGCAGAUCCUGUGGAGAACUGGAAUUGCUGACCUUGUCUAUCCCCAGAAUCAAUGCAGCCCAGAAGCCACGGACGGGACAACUGGAGCCCUAAGACUGAAAAAGCCAAAUGCCUCUCUGUCCAUGCAAGAUAUUUGGCUCUGGGGUUAAUUAUUAUCAAGUAUAAAUCCAGACAUCAUUUGGCUACUAUUUACAAUGGGUUAUACGUCCAGUGCUAGCAAAGGAAUUUCUCUAUAGAAACCAAAAGGUAAAAAGCAUGGGCAUACAUUACAAGGAACCUCAGUUAGACUCAGGAACGCUUGAUGCAGUUGAGUUCAGUGCUUUCAUUCUUUGCCAUUUGUGUGUACAGUAUUAAAAAAGAAUCCUACUUUUUUUUUUUUUCCUUUUUAAAAAUACAGAACUGUAGUCUAGUCACACUCUAACAAGUAAGUGAUAACAAAAAUAGAAAGCAGAUACCCAGGUGGGACUAAAACCCUACUAAAGCCUGUCUUCUUUUUUUUGUUGUUGUUGUUUUUGUUUUUCUCCACAAAUAUGUUUCCACAGACGAUAAUUAGCAGACAAACACACUGUAUGCAAUUGCACUGUAUUGACCUGAAGGGCGGAUACAAAAUAGUCUAAAUCGGUGAUGGCAUCGGGGGUGGGAGGUGUGUGUGUGUGUGAGUGUGUGUACACACCUGGGUGCUGGCACACCUGGGCUCCUGCGGGCACCACCCUGCCCUCGAGGGCUCUGCACUCACACACACACACACACACACAGAGUGAUGCAGGGACUGCUGUGACAGGUGGCUUCUUUUGUCUAAAUCUUUUCCUAUAAAAGAAAAAAAAAGUGAAAUUUUGGUUGGUUUAAAGGUUCUCCUCCAUGAAGAAAAAAACAAAAAAAAAAAAGAAAAAAUCGCAAAAUCCAUUGUUUUUCACCUUGUCAGUCAUUUCCUCAUGAAUAAAUAUUAUCCAUUAAAAACCUUUAAAAAGGUGCUGCGAUACACAGUGUUAGAUUCCCGGUGCCGCUCUGCUGCCGCGGCGGUUCCUCCCGGCGGCGCUGCGGGAGCUGCUGCCCCGUCCCGGCUCGUCUGUCCCCGCAGUUCCUUCCCCUGCAGCCCCGCUCGCCCCCGGCUCCGUGCGCUGGUCCCGCUGCUCCGGCUCGGGCUGGUCCAAUUUGGGCCGGUCCCACUGGUCCGGCUCGGGCUGGUCCGGCUCGGGCUGGUCCCACUGAUCCGGCUCGGGCUGGUCCAAUUUGGGCCGGUCCCGGGGGGGGGGGGGGGGGGGGGGGGGGGGGGGGGGGGGGGGGGGGGGGGGGGGGGGGGGGGGGGGGGGGGGGGGGGGGGGGGGGGGGGGGGGGGGGGGGGGGGGGGGGGGGGG